UACAGAGGUCUCAAGCGUUGUUCGGAUUCAUUGGGCGUAAAGAGCUCGUAGGCGGCUUGUCGCGUCGACUGUGAAAACCCGAGGCUCAACUUCGGGCUUGCAGUCGAUACGGGCAGGCUAGAGUUCGGUAGGGGAGACUGGAAUUCCUGGUGUAGCGGUGAAAUGCGCAGAUAUCAGGAGGAACACCGAUGGCGAAGGCAGGUCUCUGGGCCGAUACUGACGCUGAGGAGCGAAAGCGUGGGGAGCGAACAGG
rnacentral:rRNA from 1 species